ensembl:lncRNA
CUGUUGAGGUGGUGAAGGGCUGGAUGGAGAGUAGUCCUGGAAAUAGAUGCCUGGGUGUGUGAAACAGACAUUCUUUAGUAGUCUGGAAUUAUCUAUCUGAUCCUCUAGGACCGGCCACUUCCUUCCUCCAUUUGCAGACACAGCCAGUAACAUGCAUGCUGCCAGAAAUUUCUGUCUUGGCUCCUCAAACUCCUAUAAGGUCUAGGUGGGACCCAGUGGGAGGGGUGGAGUUUUGUGGCACUGAUGCUGCCCUGUUGAAACCAGGUGGAUGGGAAGGAGACAGGCACUGUUCCUGCUUCAUUGUGGUUCAGCUAUGUUAGUGUUGGUGUUGGUGUUGGAUUUUUCACCUUUUACCCUAACACAUCUCAAAAGUUUAAUUUCUGUCCUACAGGUCAACAUGGCUGCCAGAGCAUUUCCUUCUUUACCAGAAGUGCCCUCCAUGAGAGACUUUAGCCGAUCCAGAAGCUGGUGUCACUCCCAUGAGUCACAACAACAAGCACUCUACCAAAAAUGCCAAGAAGGACCAGGUAAAUUCUGGGGCCAUUUUCAGCUGUCCAUCUGUUGGGACACCCUCAUUUGCGAUACAGCGUGCUCUCCAGCCUUUUCCCUGUUUUGUGUGUUGUGCGAUACGUCUCCCUGUUUCUAUUUGCCAAAUGCACAGCCUUAACGCAAGAGUCUACAGGCUUUUCUCUUUUUAGCCUGUCACCUUUUUCUGGUAAGUUUAGUAGCCAAAGGAACUCAGAGAUUGAGGACCCUAUGGCUUUUCCCAUAUGUUCUGGAAAUAACACCAGGAAGAUAAUACUGCGCUCCAUACUAAAGUCUCUAGGCUUGUUGACUCCUACCAUACCGCCUCUCUGGGGGAUCAGUGUUGUUAUUUUCCUUUUUCUGGUCAUGCGAUUACGUGUUAAAGCUAUCUGUUAAUUGGAAAUGCGAAAAGAUGCCCCUCUAUUUUGAUAUUGUGUGCUCUGUACAAUUUAUGACAAAGUCAUUGUCAUAACUCACCACCUUCACAUCUUCAUUGGUCAAUGAGCUGUUUGGAAUCCUUCAAGCUGUAUCUUAGGUAAAAAAUAUUCUGAACACAAAGUCCUUCAGUUGUGUCUCCAAUCCGUAUUAGAGCUGAUACCAUCACUCAUGUCACAUCCCUGGGAAUUGAUACCAAAAUCAAAACAUGUUCGCAUUAAUUCUGUUACCUGAAUUCCUUCCUCUUUUUUCCCAUAUGAUGUAUUAGUCUGUGUCUUGUAGUGUGCUCAAAAUCAGAAUUCCUUAUGAAUUCAGAUAAACACAUGUGGGCUUAGUAGACAUUGACAAGUAAUAUGUUUGUCACAGCAAACACUUUCUCAGUUGCCCUGCAAAAUGCCAGGCACCCCCCAACUCCCCAGUGUCCUCUUAGGCCUUUGACAGCACAAUGAGAGAUGGGGAAGACCCCUUUCUCAGGGAGGGAAGCAGAGGGGGGCAAAGUGAGGGGCCGGCAGGCAGAACUUUUCCCCAGUAGUAGCUGUGAUUUUUUUUGUGUGUGCAGAUAAUGAGCUGUUUAUUUGCACUGAAUUGUGUUUGUUUGUGUGUGUGUGUGUGUGUGUGUGUGUGUGUGUGUGUGUGUGUGUGUUCUGAAGAUGCCAAAAACAGAGCUUCUACAGUCACUGUAGUGGAGGGAUGCAGAGUAAUCUUGGACAUAGAUGUCUGCCUGUCUGGAAUAUGCUACUUCAUUUGUUCGGACUUACUUCUUUUAAUCCUCUAAGAUGGGAUCAUUUUGUUCUCCAUUCUCAGACAUGGGCAGGGACAUGUGGUGACAGUAGUUUAGCCUCCUGCAUUUAUUUGCCUAGGCUGUAGGUGGUACCCAGUGGGAGGGAUAGAGUUUUCAGGUAGUGAUGCUACUCUCUUGGAUCCUAGUGGCAGACAAGGUGGCAGGUGCUGACACGUACUUCUCUGGGUGUCAGCUCCUUUGGAUAUUGGUUCUCUUGUCUGGCAUAUGAAUGUAGCAGAUACUUCUGUUCUGCAGGGCAGUGUGGAUUCGUGGGGGUCUCCUCUCUUAACUGGAAGAUUCUGCACACCCUACCCUAAAGGCCACCCUAUGGGCUCCUGGGCACAUCCACCUCCUGAACCUUGGUGGCCCUGAGGAACACCCUAAACCCCUCCACCUACACCACUUGGUAAGAUGAUCUGAGCAGUAUGUGUUGAUUUGCAAAACACAUUCAUCUAAUUUUUGUUGUUGUUGAGUCUUGGACAAAGUGCAGAGGUGUUACCACUGGGCAUUAUAAUGCAAGAGAAAUGUGUCUACCGCAAUUACUACAUUCCUCAAGUGUCUCAUGAUCCCUAUCAUCUUUGUGUCAUUUCUCCCACUCUGUGUUGGUACAUAUGUCUCUUGUGGAGAUGGAAUGGGGCCAUAUACAGAAAAGCAGGCAUGGCGCUUCAGCAGAUGUGUGCCGUACACAGUCCACGUGCUGGGCGGUGGGAGGCAUGAGGCUCAGCCUAAUGUAUAUCUAUCCAGUUGAGCCCUCACUCAUCCACAGUUGUUUGAUGAGUCAUGAAAGCAUCUGAACCAGGGCUAUAACAGGUCUUCAUCAAAGUUUAAGGGAUGGUUCUCCCCUUCACCUUGGGAUCGCCUGAAGCAUGUGGGAUACCCUCUGCAUGUGAUUUGGGAUGUGACUGGGCCAAAGAGUUUAAGUUGUUUGAGGAAUGAGGUGAUGGUUUUUGUUUUUAGUUUUUUGUAGUUUUUUUUUUUUUUUUUUUUUUUUUUUUGUCUCUGCACAAUCUACUCCAAUCAAAAUAAACCUCCAUCCCUUCUCGGGUCUUUUGCA